GUUUUGUUCUGUAACCACCAUUCUACAUGAGAGAAUAAAAAUAAAAAUAAAUAAUUAGAUGAUUGAAUCAAGAAACUAUCUUCCAAGUUUCCUUUGCACUAGUUCCAGAUUUCAAUUUAUUACUUGGAAUUUUAAGAGAUGUGGACAAGUGAAAAUCCAUGUAAAAUUCUUAAAAUCGAGCAAAACUAUAUCACUGACGAUCACAUUGACUUGAAUAUGC
rnacentral:misc_RNA from 1 species